AUUGAACGCUGGCGGCAUGCCUUACACAUGCCAGUCGAACGGCAGCAUGAUCUAGCUUGCUAGAUUGAUGGCGAGUGGCGAACGGGUGAGUAAUACAUCGGAACGUGCCCUGUAGUGGGGGAUAACUAGUCGAAAGAUUAGCUAAUACCGCAUACGACCUGAGGGUGAAAGUGGGGGACCGCAAGGCCUCAUGCUAUAGGAGCGGCCGAUGUCUGAUUAGCUAGUUGGUGGGGUAAAGGCCCACCAAGGCGACGAUCAGUAGCUGGUCUGAGAGGACGAUCAGCCACACUGGGGCUGAGACACGGCCCAGACUCCUACGGGAGGCAGCAGUGGGGAAUUUUGGACAAUGGGGGCAACCCUGAUCCAGCAAUGCCGCGUGUGUGAAGAAGGCCUUCGGGUUGUAAAGCACUUUUGUCCGGAAAGAAAUCGCACUUACUAAUAUUAGGUGUGGAUGACGGUACCGGAAGAAUAAGGACCGGCUAACUACGUG
rnacentral:rRNA from 1 species